AUUAAAGCAAAAGGGGGUUCAACGAAAUACUGAAACAAGGUGGGGAUAAUUUUUCCAACUCAGUGAUUAUGUUUUUUUAAUUUUUUUCUGACAUGUUGGAGUUAUAUCUUUCACUUGUGUGUCAUAAGUUGCACUGAGUAAAUACAGCUGAAUGAAAUAAAAACUGUGUCUAUCUUCAUUUUAGGCUGCAAAGCAACACAAUGUGAUUAUUUUAAAGAGGGCUGAUUCUUUUCUAUACCCACUGUAUUAGUGUAUUACUUGA